AGGGUUUGAUUAUGGCUCAGAUUGAACGCUGGCGGGAUGCUUGGCCAUACAAGUCGAACGGGCAGCACGGACUUCGGUCUGGUGGCGAGUGGCGAACGGGUGAGUAAUGUAUCGGGACGCCUAGUAGCGGGGGAUAACUACGAAAGCGUAGCUAAUACUGCACACACCUUCGGGGGAAAGCGGGGGACCUUCGGGCCUCGCACUAUUAGAGCAUUACGAUAUCGGAUUAGCUAGUUGUGGUAACGGCUCACCAAGGCGACGAUCCGUAGCUAUUUGAGGACGACCAGCCAUUGGACCGAGACACGGCCCAGACUCCUACGGGAGGCAGCAGUGGGGAAUUUUGACAAUGGGGAAACCCUGAUCCAGCCAUCCCGCGUGUGUGCGCGAUGAAGGCCUUCGGUUAGAAGUACUUGGCAGGAAAAGAAACGGCACGGGAUAAUAAUUCUCGCAACCACUUGGGUACCUGCAGAAUAAGCACCGGCUAACUACGUGCCAGCAGCCGCGGUAAUACGUAGGGUGCAAGCGUUAAUCGGAAUUACUGGGCGUAAAGCGUGCGCAGGUGGUUCGGAAAGAAAGAUGUGAAAUCCAGAGCUUAACUUUGAACUGCAUUUUUAACUACCGAGUCUAGAGUGUGUCAGAGGGAGUGUGGAAUUCCGCGUGUAGCAGUGAAAUGCGAUAUGCGGAGGAACACCGAUGGCGAAGGCAGCCUCCUGGGAUAACACUGACGUCAUGCACGAAAGCGUGGGGAGCAAACAGGAUUAGAUAAUUCUGGUAGCCACGCCUCAAACGAUGUCAACUAGCUGUUGGGGCCCUGGGCCUUGGUAGCAGCUAACGGCGGUGCUGACCGCCUGGGAGUACACAAGAUAUGAUUAAACUCAAAGGAAUUGACGGGGACCGCACAAGCGGUGACGAUGUGAUUAAUUGAGGCGUAAACGCGAAAAACCUUACCUACCCUUGACAUGCCCAACCGAAGAGAUUUGGGAGUGCUCGCAAGAGAACCGGAACAGGUGCCGUAUGGCUGUCGUCACUGAAGUCGAGAUGUUGGGUUAAGUCCCGCAACGAGCGCAACCUUGUCAUUAGUUGCUACGAAAGGGCACUCAUCGAGACUGCUUGCAGACAAACUGGAGGAAGGUGGGGAUGACGUCAAGUCCUCACAUUCUUAUGGGUAGGGUCACACGUCAUACAAUGGUCGGGAGGUCGCCAACCCGCGAGGGGAGCCAAUCCCAGAAACCCGAUCGUAGUCCGGAUCGCAGUCUGCAACUCGACCGUGCAGUCGGAAUCGCUAGUACCGUGACCAGCGCGUCGCGGGUGAAUACGUUCCCUGGCCUCGGUAUACACCGCCCGUCACACCAUGGGAGUGGGUUUUACCAGAAGUAGCGAAGCCCAACUGCAAGGAGGGCGAUUACCACGGGUAGGAUUCAUGACUGGGGUGAAGUCGUAACAAGGUAA
rnacentral:rRNA from 1 species